CAGUGCAUUGUGGGUAUGGCAACCCAAGAUGGCGGGAGCUGUGCGGGGUAAAAGAGUGUAGAAUUUAACUAUCUUCCUGAUAAAAUGCCCAGGCCGAAACGAACCUCGACAAAGAGGUAUAAAGCUGAAGAAGUCAGCGAAGACAGCAGUGCAGGUAGUGGCAGUGAUUUUGAUGACGAUGAGGAUCCAGAUAAAAUAGAAGUACCAGGUGGUGGAAAAGAUCUGGCGACAGCUGCAGGCAUUGGCGGAAUUAAAGAGGAGAAACCAUUGGUUCCAGCUCCCUUGCUCAAGGGACAUGGCGGAGUUAGCACAUUCGUGGAACCCUCGCCAUUACUCAACCAAAAAUUUGCAAAUAAACUACCGGGUGGUCUAGUUACAAAAAGCAACGCCGCUCCGGGCUACGAGAUGCUUCGUGUCGGUGGGUCUCAGGGGACACCGGCCUUCAUGGGUGUAGGUGGAAUGGGGCCGGUUGGACAAAUGGCUGCUAAUAAUCCCUAUGCAUUUCCACCGAGUCUUGCUAGUUUAGCAGGUUACAAUCCCGCUGCCCUUUUUCAACAUAGUAAGUCACCUUCUGCAAUGGAAAUGAGCAAUAUGAUGGGAAUGGGUAGUCUAAUGGGCCUUGGAUCUAUGGCUGGUCUAAACCCAUUUAUGCUGCAACAAUUCCUAACCCAAAACGGAAUGCAUCCAAAUUGGUCUGGAGGAUUGUCAGGUAAAGCCGUAUCUCAAUUGUGGAUGAAUUCCGGUGAUCCGGGAAAAAUGAACAUGCAGCCGACACUGCCAGAAGAAGAAGAAGUAGAUGAUGAAGAUAUGGGUGUUGCAGAAACCUACGCAGAUUACAUGCCAACAAAAUUAAAACUAGGCCGAAAGCAUCCUGAUCCUGUUGUGGAAACCGCUUCAUUAUCUAGCGUGGAGCCGACAGAUGUGUGGUAUAAAGUUGUCAUCCCUGAAGAGAUUAUUCGGUCCGGCGCCUUGUCCGCGUUGCAAUUAGAAUCGAUAACAUAUGCAUCGCAGCAGCACGAGCACUUAUUACCAGAUGGUACAAGAGCUGGUUUUCUCAUAGGAGAUGGAGCUGGAGUAGGAAAAGGUCGAACAAUAGCUGGAAUAAUAUUUGAAAAUUAUUUAAGAGGUAGAAAACGGGCGAUCUGGGUAUCUGUUUCUAAUGAUUUGAAAUAUGAUGCGGAACGAGACUUGAAAGACAUAGGCGCAGGAAAAAUUGAAGUGCAUCCAUUGAAUAAAUUUAAAUAUGCGAAGAUAUCGUCGGCCGUGAAUUCAAACGUUAAGAAAGGUGUUAUAUUCAGUACUUACUCAGCCCUCAUCGGCGAAUCUUCUCAAAGUGGGGGUAAAUACAAAAGCCGACUGAAGCAGCUAUUACAGUGGUGUGGCGAAGACUUUGAUGGGUUAAUUGUGUUUGAUGAGUGUCACAGAGCGAAAAAUCUCUGUCCUACUGGUAGUUCAAAACCAACAAAAACUGGCCUUACGGUAUUAGAACUUCAAAACAAAUUGCCUAAGGCACGUGUUGUAUACGCUUCCGCGACGGGUGCGUCGGAACCAAGGAAUAUGGCUUACAUGGUGAGAUGUGGUAUGUGGGGGGAAGGGACACCUUUUCCGGAAUUCACUGACUUCAUCGCUGCUGUAGAAAAAAGAGGUGUUGGCGCUAUGGAAAUUGUAGCUAUGGACAUGAAGCUGAGAGGAAUGUAUAUAGCCAGACAGCUCAGCUUUCACGGUGUGGCAUUCAAAAUUGAAGAAGUUCCUUUAUCCAAAGAAUUUACAAAAGUGUACGACACUUCUGUGAAACUGUGGGUUGAAGCUAUGCAGAAAUUUCAAGAGGCUGCUGAACUUAUUGAUGCCGAAAACAGGAUGAAAAAAACAAUGUGGGGACAAUUCUGGUCUUCGCAUCAAAGAUUUUUCAAGUAUCUUUGUAUAGCUGCUAAAGUUAAACAUGCGGUAGCAGUUGCUCGUGAAGCAGUGAAAUGUGGCAAAUGUGUCGUGAUAGGUCUACAAUCUACUGGAGAAGCCCGUACCUUAGAACAACUAGAGAGAGAUGAUGGAGAACUCAGUGACUUUGUCUCAACAGCCAAGGGAGUUCUUCAAACUCUGGUGGAAAAACACUUCCCAGCACCUGAUCGAAAUCGAAUACAUCGAUUACUUGGUCUUGAGCCGCCGAAAUCCGGCAAAUCUCAUAAUGGGGACUUUGAGGAAGCAGGAGGUUCAACAGGAAAACGCAAACCAGUGCGUCAAGCUGCACAGAGAGCAUCGAAAAAGGUUAAGACAUGGUCUACCGAUGAUGAUGUGUCUGAGGAUGACAGAAAUGGCGGUGGUCGGAGUUCUGGAUCGGAGUUUAAACUCUCUGGAACUGAAAGUGAAGACGAUAAUCGUAGCGACGAUGAAAGUAACGCUAGUUCUGACUUUAAUCCCUUCUACAGUGACAGUGAUUCUGAUGCAGAUCCGUGGGACCGGAGGAAAAAAAAGGGGAAGAAGCACAAAAAAUCACCGAAAAAACGUCUAAGUACGCAAGAUAAAAUUCAGUCGAUGCUUGCAAGUAAAACAUCACAUAACAAAAAUAAACGGAACGGUGAGAGUGGUAUGGGAAUGCCUGGAAUGGGCCUGUCAAUGUCGCAAGCUCCACCACGUGAUGCUAUAGAGCGUGCUUGUUGCAUUAAGGAAGAAUUACUGGCUCAGAUCGAAUCUCUUGGUGACAAAUUACCUCCAAAUACACUGGAUCAACUUAUCGAUGAAUUAGGCGGACCUGAAAACGUUGCAGAAAUGACAGGCAGAAAAGGUCGAGUUGUGCAGACUGAGGAUGGUGCGAUUCAGUAUGAAUCUCGGUCGGAAGUAGAUGUUCCAUUAGAAACUUUAAAUUUAACAGAAAAACAAAGGUUUAUGGAUGGCGAAAAAACGGUAGCGAUCAUCUCCGAGGCCGCGAGCAGUGGUAUUUCUUUGCAAAGCGAUAGGCGGGCUAGAAAUCAAAUGCGAAGAGUACAUAUAACUCUAGAACUGCCAUGGAGUGCCGACAGAGCUAUCCAACAAUUUGGAAGAACUCAUAGAUCCAAUCAAGUCAAUGCUCCAGAAUACAUUUUUCUAAUAUCCGACUUAGCUGGAGAACGAAGGUUCGCUUCAAUCGUAGCAAAACGUUUAGAAAGCUUGGGGGCUUUAACACACGGUGAUCGACGAGCUACAGAAACAAGAGAUUUGUCACAGUUCAAUAUUGAUAACAAAUAUGGUAGGGCUGCAUUAGAAGCCACUAUGAAAACAAUAAUGGGUUAUGAAAGCCCACUGGUUCCACCACCGCAAGAUUACAAAGGAGACUUCUUUAAAGACGUUGCAGAUGCCUUGGUUGGGGUUGGACUAAUUUGUAACAGUGAGAGCAUGCCAGGCGUCUUGACCUUAGACAAAGAUUACAAUAAUAUGUCCAAAUUUCUGAACAGAAUUUUAGGAAUGCCCGUCGAUUUACAAAAUAGACUUUUUAAGUACUUCACCGACACGUUGAAUGCGAUAGUGACUCAGGCGAAGAAAACCGGUCGUUUUGAUAUGGGGAUUCUCGAUUUGGGUACAUCUGGUGAAAAUGUUAAGAGAGUAAAAUUGUACCGAUUUUUACGGAAACACGCAACCGGCAUUGCGCCAACGGAGCUACACAUCGUUCACGUUGAGAGAGGGAUGAGCUGGGCAGAAGCUAUGGAUCGGUGGGAAUCACUAACAGGAUCCAAAGAAGGCUUUUACCUGAGUCAUCAGGUCAGAAACGGAAAGCAGACAGCUAUAUUGGCUGUGGCAGUCGAAAGUGGCAAGAAAAAAGGUGAAAAUAGAAAGGACCAUCUUUACACAGUCUACAGGCCUAAUACGGGUCUGCAGUUGCGACAAGAGACGUUGGGCGAAUUAGAGAAAAAGUACAAAAAGGUGGAAACUGAAGAAGCCGAACCACAUUGGACUCAGCAGUAUGACGCAUCAGUAGACACAUGUUCUCAUGCGUACUGGCGGGGAAAUUGCAAAAAUACCACAUUGGGACUGGAUUGUGAAGUUGGAUUGCGUAGGCGAUCCUACAAUGUACUUGCAGGAUCGGUGCUGAGCGUGUGGAGUCGAGUAGAAAAUGUACUAGCUACAAGAUCUGGCCACAAUUCAAAGAUGCAGGUUGUGCGUUUGAGAACUGAUGAGAGCUUAAAAAUAGUGGGCACGUUAAUCCCAAAAUCUUGUAUGGAAGCAUUGCGCGAAGCUCUCUCAUCAGAUGCUGAAAAAACUGAGGAGCAAACAUUCUGAGCAGACUGCCAUGUACUUGGUAUGGAAGGACCAAAAAUAUGUACGCAUGUCAUGAGUGUUGCUGUCCAUGCACUGGAUGCUGAGCUGAUGUCAGAACAAAUAAAUACGUCAUAUUUGCUAUUCCGUCAAGGUUAUGGAAAAAAAAAACAUGUAUAGAUCACAGAAUCUAGCGGAAUGCGAAUUACAGAAUGUUUCACAUCUUCAGGAUUAGUCAGAAUCGAAUAAUCGGAAGGUAAUCCUUAUUUAUUACUAAGUUUUUACCAUGAUAAAAUAAAUUAAUUAUCAGAAUUAUUACUAUUAAUAUUAUUAUUACUGUCAUUCAAAGAUGCAAACGACUAAAUUUUAAGAAAUAUUAUAGGGUUAAAAGUGAAAUCGAGAAAAUGUAAACUUUUGCUAAGCUUGAAAGGAAAGUUAGCUACCAAAAUUGUUUUCCUAUAUAUCCAACAUUAUUCGUCUUUUAUAUGUGUCGUUGGGGAAAACAAUUUUGAAAUCUUUUUUUCCGCUCUACAAGCCACAAGAAAUUGGUCAUUUGCAACAAUCUCCAAAAAAUGGAUUUAUAAGAAUUUAGAUAAGAAAGCAACUUAUCCACCAACACCUGAAAGCUUUUCUUUUUCUUGCGCCUUGCUGUAGGCGAUAAUUUUGUGAACGUAAGUCUAUGGCGUUCUAUUUUACCUUGGUCCAGUAUGAAGUACAGAUGAAACUCGAAUUUUAUUCUUGCCGCUUUUAUUCUCUAGCAAAAGUGUACAAUGCGACGCAUCUUCUCUAACAGUGUGACUGAAAGUGUGUUAGGUAUUGAAACGUAAGAGAACGUGACUUUCAGUUUACUACAUUCUUGUAGGUGCUGUAAUUAGGACAAAAAAAACCGAGAAUUCGUCACGUAUUUCGAUAUAAGGGUAUUAAACAUUCUCCAACUUGAUUCGGAAAUUCAUUUCAACACAAAGUUUUUGACUGAGAAGUAACUUUCGGUGAAGCAAUCCGCAUCACCAUUAUCAAAUAUCUUGUUUGAACUAUUCAAUUAUCAAUAUACAUUAUUUGUUUAGAGUUAUCUAUAUCACAACCCCAUAUAUCUUUCAUAUUCACAUGUGUGAUCCAAAUCAUUGGAGAUUUUUUAUAAUCGACAUUUUCAAUAGAAGAAAUUUCAAUAAGUUCUUAUGUUUUUCAAACAUUGAGUGAACUUUAAAACAAUUCUUGAUUGACGAGGAACCCUAGGUAAGUCGACCUCUCUGAUUUUGAUCUUGCUCACAUAUCUUUUAGUGCAUCGAAAGCUAAUAGACACAUAUUUCUUUUAUCUGCUAAUAAACGGUUUAAAGGGGUGAAAAUAACAUCCAAAGAUGGGCACCCAAUGGGGUAGUUUCUCAGUUUCGUACUGAAGCACUUGAUGUACUUGAAUGAAACAUUCAAAUACAUUAAUUAUACUUGAACGAAACCAAUGCUGAAAUGUUCCAUUCACCAGUAGACACAUUUCUGCUUUAGGUUGAUUUAAAUACAUUAAGCGCUUCUGUUUGGAACUGAGAAACCUAUCUUCCCGGGUGCUCAUCUGUGGGGGACAUUAUCACCCCUUUAAACCAUUUACUAGUAGAUAAAAAAAAUAUACGUCUGUCAGUUUUCAUUACCCUACAACAUAUAUGAACUAGAUCAAAAUUGAAUGUGUCGACCAACCUGGGGUUUCUUGUGAGUGUCACUGACAUGGUAUUGUUUACUUCAAAUAUAAUACAGAUAAGUAGUUUUUUAACAGAGGUCUUAAAUUGAGGAGUUGUAAAAUUGUUUCUUUAAUAGCUGAUAGAUUUAAUCAGUGCGAUAAAAAAAAUUGAUAAAAAAGUUGGGAAUGGAAACACCAUUUUAUACAUUUUUCGCUUUGUUUAAUUUUUUUCAGUUCAAUCUGAUUCUGGUCGAUAGCCAGUACUUUUUCACUGUGUUCUUAGAUUUCGUAUAUACAUUGUAUAGGACUCAAGGACGAUUUGGCUGUGCAUUUCGCCAGGUCUUGCCCCGUGGCUGGCAUAAGUUAAUGUUAACUUUUAAUCUAUCCAACUUUUAUAAAAAUUUGACCAAAUUUCAGCUAACUUAACUUUGCUAUGUGGAAACAUGCCAAAUCAACCAAUACUGAAAAUAAUUAUAUUAUUGAGUAUAGAAAAUUCGUUGACAAAAUCAAACCUGUCUGAUUGGCACUAAAGAAAAAAAUCUUAUAAACUUUCCUGGUGAAUAUAGAUUCGUGCACUUGGGUAUUUUAUGGUAUAGAACUAAAAGAACUCUAAAACAACGCAAACAUGCCCCUAGCCAUACAAAACAGCAUAGUGCAUGGAGGUCAAGCAACUACGAUUAUUUGUUUUGCGCUGGUAAUCUAAGUUACGUUAUUAAUUGGCUUAAGUUGUUACGAAAUGGAUUCAUUGACAGUUUUGGUUGCUUUAAUGUGUUGGUUUUUUUUUUAUUUUGAGAGUCAUCUACAGAAUUGAAUUGCACCUGAAUAUACUUUAAUGAACUCAUAUUCAAUCAAAAUAUUACAAUACCAAUUCUUUCAAUAUUAUUAUUAAUUUAUCUUUAUUUAACAAACAAAUGUUCAAUCACGAAAUGUUUCCAACAUCUCUCGUAAAAAAUCAUGUUUUGUUCCCUAAUGUAAUGUUUAACCAGUAAGUGUUUCAACGUAAAAAACAAAAAACUUAAAUUUUUAAAACUAACUAAACUUCACACUCUAUAAAAAGGUUGAACGAUAGUGGUGUUAUAUUGUCUUUUAAAAUGUUAUGUAUUAUUUUGUAUCCUAUGAAGUAAUUAUUUCAUCAGUAUUAGUUUUUGAUUGGCGAUUAAAUUUUUCCACAUAUUUUACUUUACUAUGGACUAAAUGAAAUUUAUCAUGCUUUUAUUCUCAAAUCAUCUGAAUAGCCUGAAAACUUGGCGCAUAUAAUCGAUAACUAAAUGCGUUCACCCGAAUGUCCGUUAUUGUGAAUAUAUUGUCAAAAGUUAAUCGGUGGCUUAUGAUUGUUAUUCCUUCACUGAUGGUUUUAGAUUAAAGGCUGGGCAUAGUGUCGUGCAUAUUUUCAUUGUUCUUACAUUCAAUAUAGCACUUUAGCGCAUUGAAUGCUGUAUGAAAUACGAGCAAUGCGAAAUUUAAGGUACAGAAUGCAAAGCGUAUUGUAUAUGAACCACGCUAAAAGUUUAGCUGGGAUAAUGCUUGAGUUCAAGGUACCAUAUGUAGGUAAUAGUAGGCAACAGUAUGGUUUAGUAUACUACUAAAUAAUAUAAAUAUAAUAAUUCAAUUAAUGAUUACUAUUAAUGUUAGACACGCUGAACAUGAUAUAUUUAUAUUCACAAUAAUACCCGUGGUGUAUAUUAGGUGUUUGUAUGGAUCGCAAUGCAAGAUGAGUGUCUACCAGAUAACUCAAUAAAAAAAAAAAAUCCUACUUUUUUUUCAAACCUCAACAAACGUCUUCAAAGAUGACACAAUAUGAUUUACGUUUCUACAUUCCUCUGUGUUUUCUGUAAUUCAUAUCGAAAUAUUUAAUUUUGUACCAAAGUAUGCAUCAUUUUCUACCAUCCCAAUUCCGUGUGAAGAUUGCUUAAGAAAAUUUAUUUUUCAAUUGUCAUUGAAAUUGGCACAUGACUAAGUCUCUUUACUUAACUCACACCUACACUUAGUUGUGAGAUAAAAUGAAGUACCACAGAUAAGUGAGCAAUUUAACACUUCUGCAGGCAUAUAACUGUAUAAAUCGACAAUUGACUUACAGUUCAAUAGCGUUAUUUUUGUUUUUUCUGCCAGCUAUCGCAUACAGUAUUGAGAGUCGUAAUUCAAUCUAUCUGAGUUACAAUUACACAACAAUUACAUAAUUUCAAUAUAGUUUUGAUGGCGAAACAAGUUAUGUGUACGAUGCAUAGUUUCCCUGUAUCAACUUUGCUUGAAUACAAUCGUUUUUAGAAUUAUUGUGGUUGUGUACUUCCCAUCAUUUUUGCACAAAUAUUUCCCUUUGAAGUAAAAACUGGGAAAGAGUUGUUAUCACCAUCCAUAAGGCAAAAGGUGUUAUGUUGUUACUAUUCACGUUGCAAUAACUGUGAUCUGUAAUUUUUACUGAAGGUGACAUCUAGCAUUCUUCCUUCAAUUUCUUAGUUUUGAGAUUCAUUAGUAAUAGCGUCCAUGUGAACAUGCAUUUGAAUUGAGAGACUGUGAAAAGGAGGAAUGUGACAAUACACCACAUACAUUCACUAUCUAUGCUUUACCUUCCUAUGGGCCAAUUUUUAUUUACUUUACGACACAUCUGAGUAUGAUAUAAAAGUUGUAGGGAAUGUGGAUUAUAUUAUCGAUUGUGGGAGGACGUAAAAUUUGUGGAAUUUUAAUUUCUCAGCUAUAACGGAUGUACAUACAAAGUGCAAUUAUUGCCGUAAUGAGACCAGUGUUUCACAUCCAAAUAAAUAAAAAUCACAUCCAAAAAAGUAACAGUAUUUCGUUCUUGGUAUUUUCAAUUAGGAGUUAAAACUAUUUCAUCCUUAAUAAUUUUUUACCAAUUGUACGCUAUAUCCGUUAGCUUGGUAUUAAAAUUUCUCAUUCAGGUUGUAAGAAUUGUGGAGAACAUUUUAACUUGUACCCGUACUUGUUACAAUCCAUUGCAUAUCUCAAUAUUGAUAUCAGAUUUUCCAAUUCGGUUUUUCGUAAUUGUAAAGCACAGUUAUUUACAAUUUCCGUAAAAAUGCAGAGGAAUGUUGAUCGAUACUUGGUACAUACGAUGUUAUUUUACGUUGUAACAAUAAAGUUUCUGCACAUGAUUGGGCGUGCAAUAUAAGGUAUUAUUAUAUGUUUAUGCUUCUUUAAUUGUAAUUUCACCCUCAUCUUUCAAUAUACCCAUGUCAUUGAAUAUAGGAAUACACUUCAUUUAGCUUAUUGGCGACUCUAAUUAUCCGAUAUGGUAACUAAUAGAAAUACCCCUCGUUAUUAUAAGUAUUGAUUAAUAAUUAUUAUAUGUUCUAUAUAACUAUAGAAAAUCAACAAGCGUUCAUAAAUUCACGAGAGAGAAUUGGUAAAAGAUCUGUACAGAUAUAUUAGAAAAACCGUUCCUUAAUAAAAGUAUUUUAAUUAUUGCUCUCUGAUCAUUCGUCUUGGCAGAUUCAUCAUUGAUUAUUUUUCAUUACUUGGCUUCGUGGUAUUUGAAAAAAACAACUAUCUGGAAAAUGAUGCGUAUGUACGUCGUACUCUUUAUUUCAGUCUGACAUAUUUACAUAUGAUACAUAAUCACCAGCACAUUAAUGUACUAACCAAGCCAUUUCAAUAAAGUAUUAACUUACAGAAAUCUAGUAACGGCUCAUUACUGAUAUAAUUAUUGUAGUAUAAUGAGAUUGUAAUAAAAAAAUAGAAGACAUUGGUAAACUUUAAUAUUACGGGGAAAACAAAAAAGUUGGAGUUAAUGGUGAAAUUUUCUAAUGUGUAUUUUACAGCAGUCAUUGAACAAACUUCUAGGUAGAAAAAUGCUGAAUGCAGGUACGUGUAACUAGUGAGUGAGUACAUAUAUGAACGACAGUUUUUUACGCAGUCAGUCAGUAAAGUAAAUUUGGUUAAGGAUGAUGGUCAAUUGGACAGUCGGUAUAUAUAUUAAACCUGAAUACCUUUUCCGCAUGAAAGGUUUGAAAUUCUGUAAGUUUACAAUUAUUAACUUUUGGCACUAAUAAUCAGGUAAUCGCAUUUGUAAUUCAUUUUAGUGCUUCAGAAAGUCAAGAUAUAGUGUAAACUUGUUCUAGAGAGAAAAGAUUUACCAAUUACUUAUAGCUGAAACUACUUCGAAUUUGUUAGUGUCUCUGCUGGCACGUUAAUCUCGCCUUUUGCUUUAUGUACUGUAUUUAUGUAAUUUUUCAAUAAUGGUCGUAGGGUCAGAACGUCAAUUCAAAUCAUUUGAAUGUCU
rnacentral:misc_RNA from 1 species